CUGCUGUUAUCUCAUGGGCAAGCUACGUUAGAGAGAGGGUUCUUUGUGAACAAGGAAGUAGAGACGUGCAACAUAAUAGAAGAAACUGUUGAGGCCCAGAGACUUGUCUGUGACCAAGUACAUGCUUUGGGGGGGGUUCUCAAAGUGCCCCUCACAAAGGAACUACUGGCUUCUGUAGCCUCAGCCAGGACCAGAUACAGGAUCUACCUUGAUGAGGAAAGGGAGGAAGUGAGAGGGUGCCAUGCGUGGACUAAAGAGAAAAGCAAAUCUAACACCCUCAUGGCUAAAAUGAUCACAAAAUCUAAUACUCUAAUAAGGAGAUUCAAGGAAAAGUGCAAUGAAUUGAAAAAUGUUGGGGCAGAGUUGGAGCUAAAAUCGACUGAAUUAAGGCAGUUUCCUGGUAUGUUCAAGUCUCAAAUUGAUCUGCCUAGAGGGAAAAGACAUUUCAUGUCAACACCUGCAACCUGUGUGAACAUAACAGAUUUUCAGAUGUAUGUCCUGCCUAAACCAUCCCUUGUCACUCCAAAAGGCUCAGAAGACCUAGAGUUUGCACAUGCAGGCCUGGGUAAAAGACUUCUGAGUCUUCCAGACAACUUUCAACAGAGGUAAUAAUGUACAAAACUGUUUUGUGAGUUGAAAUGUGCAGAGUUUUUUUUUAAACCAAAAGGCGUUUCCAAAAAGUUAUUUUUUAUUCAAAAAAUCAAACUGUAGCAUGUUGUAGACUUAGGGGUGCUGUUUGUUUUGUUUUUAGAUUGUUUCUCAGCUUGAGGAUGAAUUUCCAAAAUUGAAAAGUCUACAAGGAGGUUGGAUGUUUUACAAAUCGACAGGUAUUGGUUACAUUAUUGAUUUUAACUGGUGCUUUAUGCCUUAAUGUAAUUUUGUUACCACAAAUAUAAUUUGGUAUUGUAGAGCUUAGAAAUUAUAUACAUGGAAGCGUAUAUAACGUCCUUUCUUUGAUUUAUUUUUUCUUAAAAGUGGUGGUGGGCAGCGUAAGCUGUCAGUUAUUACAGUCACUGCCAUAUGAUUCAGUUGAAUUCUCAAAGAU
ensembl:lncRNA